GUGAAUAUGAGCUUCAAGUCCGGUGUUGUGUGUAUGGUGGUCAGAGGUGGAACUGAAAGCAUAGGAGCAUGGACCUGGGGGACAUCAAUCGGUGGCAGACAGGACAGCUGGUGCGUGUUUGGGGUGAUUGGCAUGCCGUAUGUCAGGUCGGCAGACAGCAUGCGGGUACCUGCUCUGUCCAGGUGGAGCCCUUCUGACCCAAAGAGAUGUCGUCUCUCCUAGAACACGUCAAAAUUGUUGACGAAGCCCACCUGAUGUGAGCUACAGGCAGAGGAGAGUCAGGUGUUGAGGCUGACCAGCCUGCUGAAGCUGCCUAACCUUCUGCCGCAGGUGGGGGUGGGGCUGGAGAUAAAAACAGUCACCUGGGACCGUGAGACGGAAUUAAAAAGGUAGAUGACAUCUUUCUUUAAAAGUUUGGACUGUUGUCUGGUUAUGUCGUUUGCACCUGCAUGGGUGAUAAUCUUAUUUGCCUGUGGAUGCGAGCUCAGGAUGUCAGGUAUUUUCCCCAUUAUGUCCGUAACGGUGGCUCCAGGAAGCACCAUGGUAAAAGCCCCCCUCAUGCGGACAUGCCUCACAAUCGAGUCCCCGAUGACCAGGGUUGUGGGAGCGUCGGCUCGGUCUUCAGGGGGGCAAUCCAGCUCAGCUACCCCACCACCAGCACCAGGACCUCAGGUGUGAUCCCUCGUCUUGUGAGGAGAACGGGAGGAGUGCCAGCGCGCCGCCUACGCUGGGAUGAGAAGCGGGAUGGCUGGGGCGGACUGCCCCGCGUUGGACACCCACCUGCUGGAGGGCAGCUAGCCGUGAGUUGAGGGAAGGCUGUGGUGUCUGUCAGCAGGGGCAACGUGUCAGUGGCUGCAGGAACAGUUGGUGUCUCCCGGUGAGGGUCCCGAACCGCUGGCUUCUUGUUCACGGACGCAGUCGCGUACUUAUUUGAGAGCUGGACACUCGAGGGAGAAGGAGCCCCGCCGUGAAUCCCGCUUGGAGCCCUCUUCUGCCCGCGGACAAUCACUUCGGUCCAGCCAUGAUUAUUGUUCCUUUCAGGCUGUCAUUGUGUAAGCCCCUACUGUGAACUGCGCAAGCGUUACCGACUGUUUUGCGAAGUCAGCUUCCAUCAACGAGGACAACUCAGCUAGCCAGGACUUUUCUUCACCGUUGGCACUAGCUAAUCUUCACAGCCAGCAUCUUCAAACAACGGCGACCUUUGAGGGAGGCGGUGAGUCUGGACUUGGGGGUGGGACAAAUGUUUAUGUUGCACUGAAAUAUUUAACUGUUUAAUUGUGAUGUGACAGGUCGUUUCUGUUUUAAAACAAGUCAAAAUUAACUGUUUUCCUUUUGGUGGCUCCAUGAAAAUGCUGUACAUUGUUUAUUGUUGUUGGGAGAUUUCAAAAUGUUUAUACUGCACUAAUAACUUGAUUGUCUUGUUGAAUUCUGAGGUGACAGGGUGAUUUCUGUUUAAAAUGAGCAGAGGACCAAAAUGUUACUUGUUGUCUUGUGUGUGGACUUCCUCUGUGAUGGCUCUAUCAAUUCAAUACACUUAUAUUGGGAAUAAGUGCUGUCAAAUAAAUGCUGGAUGGUUUAAAAGUGGUUGCUUAUUUAGUUUUUGUAAAAAUGGAGGACACUUCCCCGCCUCUCAAUGUAGUGGGUCAAUUUUACCAGAUUAUACUGAUGCUGAUGUGUUUUGUUUUCAUAACACCAUAUUUGAAUGAGUGACCUUGACAAGAGGACGUGGUGGUGCAUUUGUAGUUCUAUGAGCAUUUGCACAGCUGUACAUCAAAAUACACUUGAUGACAGUUAGCUACUUAAGUAUUGAGUAUUUACUGUAUAUAACUGUAAUUUAUUGUGUGUUUUGCCAGAUUAUGGUGAUCCUGGGGUCGUGCUGAUGGGGCCCUUGGAUAUUAUUGCCCAGGGUACAGCAAAGUGUUAAUCGGGCCCUGGAUACGGGAGUGAUUUACACAAACAUUACAAGCCUUUUGAAGGAGUUGGGGUUUGACUGGGCCACUAGGUAAUAAACAAACUGUAGGUGUUCUCAUGAUGAGCAGGAACGGCAUGGGGCGCAUCGGGUAGCCUUACUACAAAUUCUGUAAAGAAAUAUACUACUUGAGCUUGCUAGUUGCGCUACCAGUGCCCUCUGCAUUGUCCAUACGUGCAAUAAUUGUGUGCUUGACCUUGUACCCACAUACGACAGUCAAGACCAUAAUAGCCACCAUGGAGCUUAUAAGGGCUUGCCUCCGUCACCUGUAGCUUCUACUCUCCCUUUCCAGAUUAGCCACAAAUUCCAUCUGCCUUUGCACGCUGUCCCUGCUGUGACUCCAUCAGCGUAAUGCUAAUUGCAACCAGCUGCUAGAUGGGCAGGACAGGAGGUAGCAGUGUGUUUAUCUGUAACCACAACUCUUAACUUGUCAACAUGUUUUGAUAUUUGUUCUGCCUGAGUCACGUCAGCUGAGGCUUAACAAUACAGAUAUUGAAUAAAAGACAAUAUUUGAUGCCAAACAGAUUUUUACUUAUACUUUUCAUGUAUUUGUGUGGAAAAGUUUAAUGAGCACCUACAAUCUGAGGUUUUAUUGUAUUUUCCCCCAAAAUUUGGGGGGAAUAAAUUAUGCUGAAGGGGACAGAGGAGGAGAGGCCAAAGGAGGUAGACUGUACACAUUACUGUGUGUGAACAAAUGGAUGGGUCAAACAGCAGGACAGAAUUUCCCCUCGGGGAUCAAUAUAGUAUAUCACUAGAUGGAUGUUAAUAUCGGUGAUGUCAUAUACAUUUUUGUUUGUGUCUGUUUUCAUGCGCGCGUGGUUGUGCAUGUGUGCUGUAUAGCACACAUGGAUGUCAAAGAAAAGAAAACUACUAACUAAUACAAGAGACUUCUUUAGGAGUCAAAGUUUUACUGUAGAGGCUUAACAAUACAGAUAUUGAAUAAAGGGCAAAAGAGAUACGCUUUUUAAAAGUGUAAUUCUUAUUUUCAUGUGUUUCUGUGGAAGAGAGCAACUGUUUAGAAAACACAAAGAAAAUUUGCGGUGAAAAUACAAUAAAACCUCAGGUUCUAGAUGAUCAUGUGAUUUUAUGCAUCCAUAUCUUUUGGAUAAUAAAUUACACGUAAUGAUUGUGUCCAUCAAACUCUUUUAUCAUUCCAUCCCUAAUCUGUUCAUAUAUCAUGCAUCAACAAAUUUUUGUAAGGUGACAGACAGUAGAGAGGCUGGAGGAGGUAGAGAAGGAGAAGCUGGAGGAGAUAGAGGAGGAGAAGCUGAAAGAGAGGCUGAAAAUUCACAGGUGAGGUUAAAUAAUGAUGGAUAUGUUGGUCAUGAGAUUCGGCACUAUGACUGAUGUUAGUGUGAUGACGAUCUGAAUAACAAUGCUUCACCCAUGUGGCUU